GUUGCUCUGAUGAGCCUUAACAUGUAAGAAGACUCAUUCAAAAGGUUGGAUCUUCAAUGAGAUAUACUUGUUACGUUUGACUUCUGAGCUAC
rnacentral:snoRNA from 1 species